CGCUCCAUCGUGCAGAAAGUGGGCGAAAAGUGAAAACCUAGCCGCCAAUCCCCCUCUCGUCCCGGAGCUCGUCCCGAACCCCUGCCUCGCGCAGCCGCCUCGUCUCUCCUCCCCUCUCCCUCGUGUUCUCUCCCACGCCGCUGGCCCUCUCUCUCGCCUCAGCCGCCUCCUCUCCUCCCCUGCGCCGUCGGCUCCCUCAACCAGCUUCUUACUCCUUUCCGUCGGCGGCAGUGGUGACUGGUGAGCAUGAGAACAGCGGCCGCGGCUGGACGCCGUGAGCUCGGGAGCAGCUCGUUGACAUGGUCCAAGUUGGGAACGACCAAGGCAAGGAGGAUCAAGAUCUGGAUGGCACGCCUCACCCUCGGCUACCUCUUCCACCUCCCCGUCGACUGCCACUUAUCACGGAGGAGGAAGGGAUGGAGAGAUAUGGCGGCUGCGACUGGAGCUGGCGGAUGCCAGAUAGAGGUCCACCCUGUUCCCGGCCUCCCGCGUCCCGCCCCGCCCCGGUACAGGGGCAACAGCAAGGUGAAGAUCGUCAUGCCCGGGCUUGGGCUCGGUGAUGAAGGGCAAGCGAGGUUCCUACCCAUGGGCUCUGGCAAGAUCUUGAAUUCAUGAUAAACAUUUUUAAAUGAUGUAGUUGCUACACAUGGAAAUCCAAGGAAAACAUAUAUCUCACUGAUGGAUUUGCAGUAUGCCUAAUCUUGGACGUGUGCAAACCAACAUAGUUGUGAAUGAGCUCUGCUAGAUUGUCUCAGCUCAUGCCAUGAGCGUUGGUAGUGUGUCACUGCAAUGCGUAAUGUCCAUUCCUUCUGCCUUUUUCCUUUCUGUACAUUUGGAGAAAAAUGCACACAUGUUAUUUCUGCAUUUGACAAUUCCAUUUAGGUGUAAAAACCUGGCUUUGUUUUGUUCCUUUUUGUUCUCUGUACAGUUUUUGCACUGACCAAUGAACUGUGAUGUCCAUGAAUGCUAUUAAGGCACUGUUGAACUCCGCCUUUUCCUAUCUGUACAUUUGGAGAAUAAUGCAUACAUGUUGUCACAGCAAUUUUUUGUUGGGGUUCACAUGUUGUGACUAUAUGUAUGAGACUGACAUAGUAAGUUUUCCCCUUUACAGGAAGAUUAAAAGUUAAGUUUUCUGACGGUGAGUUAUGUGUGGUUUGAGGGGUUGCAGCUUGCCUAACAGAGGUUCCCUAAAAAUGAUGUUUCGGGAAAAGUAAGCAGUAUUCUCCUCGACCGUCCGAUUUGUGCUGAUCGUGCUGCAAGUUGAUGCCUGGGUUUACAACUGGUGGUUUUUCCAUUCCUUAAUCCUCAUGUCUUCUUGUGUGUGUGUGUCACAUGUGCUUACAUCUAGGUUUGAUGCGAAUUUUCUUUUUACAGGGUGCUAGCCACUGUAGUUCUGUUUGUUUGUUCGUAGGACACAGAUGACAAACGGUGAUAUUGCGGUCUCUUUACCUUCAUAUUCUUGUCUUGGUUUUGUUUCUUUCUGCGUGUAUCUACGCCAUGGCUGAACAUUCUUUACUCAUUGAUAUGUGUAUUCACGGGUUUGUUCUUCUUCUAGAGAAUUAAGUUGGUGAAAUUGUUGGUGACUUUUAUUAUUGUUAAUUGCUCAGAGUGAUUGUUCUCAAAGUAGUCUUGAACAAUUAAUCAUUUGCAGGUAUUUAUCUAACCUUUAGUGGCUUCAGUUUCCUGUCAUCUUUCUUUUGGAAAUGGAAAUUGUUGUUGCUUCCCAGGUCAGCUGAGCUGUCGAAAAAAGAGAAGACGAUAAGCGAGACUACUACAGCGAGAGAGACGGCGGCCAAUAUUGUGUUAGUUGCCUGCUUUAUGCAAAACUAAAACAAGUGAGACUGAAAUGCUUUGGCAUGUAUUGGCUAAAUUAGAACGUAGUAUGAGAUUGGCAUAUGCAGGAUAACACUACAAGUUGACACACAUAGCAUGUAUUGGCUAAAUUAGAACGCAUGAGAUUAUCAUAUGCUUUCUCAAAAAAGAAGAAGAGAGAUUGACAUAUGCAGGAUAACACUACAAGUUGGCACACCUAGGCAAUUGAUUAAUUUUUUUUGUUUUGUCUCUUUGCAUAGUGCCCAGGUAGUGUUUGCACAGAUUAUUUGUUAAAUUGUUAAGAUGUCUCUUUCUUUAUCAGCAUGUACAAAAGGUUCAGCAAAGUGGGACUCCCAAGUCUGCAACCACAAUAGAAAUAAGGCCAUGGAGCAAGAGUUCUGUUGGGCAUCCUUUGCAUUUAUCUUGUCAGGUUCCAUGCUUCAUAGCAUGUGUAUAAGCAUAGAAGUACACACAUACACUGCAGUUCGUAAUGUCACUUAAUAGGGGAUGCAUUAGGGUACUUUAUUUCCAUUAUAAACUGAUAAUAAUUAUGAGUUUAGAAAGGUAACAAUAAUCUGGGUUAUAGCAGAAUAUUAAAUGUGGUAUGCUUGUAUGAGUAGAAAAUGCAGAGUUUAUAAAUGAACUAAAAUUUGUGAGCAGGAAGUGGUAGGUUUAAUUUCAGUUAGAAAAAUAGGUGUACUGCAGCAUCAUAUAUUCAGGUAAUCCCUUGAAUUUUUUUGCCAUGUUCAGGCUUUAUACAUCGUUUGUAUAUGCAUAAAGUACGCCACAUGAACUGGAGUUCGUAGUGUCAGGAGUAAGAGGGGUGCAACUAAGUAGUAGCAUGUUACAGGAUAAGAACAGCUGUUUAGUUUAACAGUGCCCUUUAACAGUUUAACUCCAAAGAGGUCGAUAUAUCUGAACUCUAGAGUAUAAGAUGCAUGUUCCUACUCUUCCUGAGAUCACGGUUAUCAUAACUAUUUAUUUGAGAUAUGCGAAGUGUUCCUUUGAUAGUAGAUGCAACUUGCAGCUAUUGUGGACAUUCGUUUGUUCGUGGGAAGUUUUGUCUCUUCCCUACAGUCAAAGCUCAUGUGCAAUUUGGAGAAAAUGCACACAUGCUAUCGCUGCAUUUGGCGGUUCCUUUUAGCUAAAAAAACCUGGCUUUGUUUUGUUCCUUUUUGUUCUCUGUUUAUUACUGUUAAUUGCUCAGAGCGAUUAUUCCCAAAGUAGUCUUGAAUAAUUAAUCAUUUGCAUGUAUCUAACCAAUAGCGGCUUACGUUUCCUGGUCAUUUUUCUUUUGGAAAUGGAAGUUAUUGCUUCCUAGGUGAGCUGAGGUGAUAACUGAACUCCCUUCUACUAUUGAGAAGAUUCAGUAUUCACUUAUAUUUUCAUUAGCCCAAGGAUAGUUUUUAUUGUGUUGUGGCUGUGGGCAGCUACCGAAAAAAGAAAAGAGGAUGAGCGAGACUACUGCAGUGAGAGAUGGUGGCCACGAGAGCUAUGGAUGCAGGAGAGGGUUCAUGUUGUUUAUAUAGUUCCUCUAGGCCGUGUGUCUUUCCAUCCCCCGCUCCAGGAGAGGGUUCAUGUUGUUUAUUUUAUUAGUCGAAUAUGAUAUAAUAUGAGAUCACCUACCAUCGUCAUUCUUGAUUACAGUCUCAUACAAAAGUAGUCCAGUUAGUUGUACUAAUUCAUAUAUAUUUUUGGUAUGGUUCUUAUUUGGUUUCAAUACACAGAAAUUUGAAAGGCAUAUAAGAGAAAAAUCCAUGGCAUCACUUCAAAUUGUGAUCUUUAUUUGGUUAGCAAGGCCUUCCUUUGGUGGCUAUGUUUUUUUUUCAAUUGUGAUGUUUGAAACAAUUUUUUUAUACUAAUAAUGAUCUAGAAUACAACAGACCAAUGAUUUAUACAAAGAGACACAAUGGGAGUUGACCGGAAACCUGGCUUCUGAAAGGACUGAUAUAUACAAAAUAUUAUUUGACUAGAACAGGAGAGAUGCAAUCUUAUGGAUAAUUCAACAUUUGCAAGAAACUUCCCAGCUUAGCCCUCCUAUUGCUCACCUAAAGAUUUAUUUCCUUCGUUUCAGUGCCUGCUUUUGAUGAUAUGAAACUAACAAGGCAGAAGGUACUUCUCAUGGUUAAUUUAUUAUAUUUUUGUAGAAACUGGAUAAAGAAAAUACCGUGCACUUUCUUAUAGUCUUUUGGCUGCCCUGUUGUUUUGGCUUUCUUUUAGGACAGAGGACACACAAUGCUUAACAGGUGAUCUAAAUUCAUAGUCAUCGGUUCUUACCAUGUGCCUGUUAUUUUAUUUUGCAUUUUUUAUGCAUCACAUCGUUUCCUUUAUAACAAGUGAUCUGAAUUCAUGGUCAUUGGUUUACUGACCGUUGGCAGCUUUUCUGUUUCUUCAUGACAAGAAAACCAUAUAGCGCUUGUACGCUUUAGCCUUGUCCUGGUUACUAGAACUGCUUCGAUGUUGCUCUAUUAUAAGUGCCUUGCUUGCACCAGUACUCAUGGUUGUCUUUUCUGAGCCUAUAAAAUCUUUGAUGGAGCAAACUCCUAUGGUUGCUGAUCCAUCACAAUAUUGACCAUGAACUUUGUGCCCAUCUCCGAGGUUAGUAAUUCCAGAAUUCGAGUUGCACGUACUGCCGUAGAGAGUAAAACGUGUCGUGCUGAUGCUCUCUACGACACUAACUCAUGGAUCAAUGUUUAUCUCUGUGUUUGUCUGUGUUUUGUGUUAGAUUAUUUUGUGUAUACCCCUCCUAAAUACGAGUCUUUUUAGAAAUUUCACUAUGGACUACAUACGGAGUAAAAUGAGUGAAUCUACACUUUAAUAUAUGUCUACGCACGUAGUUUGUAGUGGAAUCUCUAAAAAGACUUAUACUGUAUUUAGAAACGGAGGGAGUAUGUAGCAUUUUAUUGAAGCUGCCAUCGCGAGAGGAAACGGAAGGAUACCUUCGUGAUCAGCACAUCGGUGUCUUAGGCUUCUUCAUGUAGUUUUGUCACUGCCGGCAAGUGCAAGAACAAACAUGGAUAUAUCAGUGUAGAUAAUUCUAUCUUUAUUUUCUGAUUGAUUUAAGAUACUCACAUAUAUAGUGGUUACAAAUGCUCUAUAAUACCUACAUAAUCAUUGGUUCUAAUUCAAAGCCACAACUUGACAAGUCUGCUAUCAUGUUUAGUAAAAACACCAAGAAUGAUGUUCGGAAAGCUAUGCUGGACCAACUGGGGCUCCCGGUGUAUGUGGGAGAGUCAAGAACAAAAGUCUUUGCGUAUAUGAAGGAUAUAAUUUGCCAACGUAUACAGGGAUGGAAGGAAAAGAUGCUAACCAAGGCCGUGAAGGAGGUUCUGAUAAAGGCAUGCGCCUAGGCCAUACCCACUUUUGCCAUGUCAGUUUUGACCUUACAAAGGGGCUGUGUGAAAAUGUGUUUUUUUAUACGUAAGGAUCUAAAUUCUUAGCGUGUGUGUUUGGCCAGACAGAAGAUUACUAAAAAGAGACAUACUUUUAGCGGCAUGAUUUUGAAUGA